GGAGGGGUCGCUUAGAGGCCGAGAGCGCGCGCUUGGAAAGCGCGUAGGCCCGCAAGGGUCUCGCGGGUUCGAAUCCCGCCCCCUCCGCCA
rnacentral:tRNA from 1 species